GUCCCAAUCUUCUAAGUGGUUAGGAAAUUUGAUUUUCAUUCAAACAAUACAGGUUCAAGUCCUGUUUGGGAUA
rfam:Monosiga brevicollis mitochondrion, complete genome.